AAUCAACGCUGGCGGCGUGCCUCAGACAUGCAAGUCGAACGCGAAAGUUUCCUUCGGGAAGCAAGUAGAGUGGCGUCCGGGUGAGUAACACGUAGGUAAUCUACCUUUGGGUGGGGAAUAACAACCGGAAACGGUUGCUAAUACCGCAUAAUGCAGCGGCAUCACAUGAUGACAGUUGUUAACGCGGGGGAUCGCAAGACCUCGCGCCUAAAGAGGAGCCUGCGGCGGAUUAGCUAGUUGGUAGGGUAACGGCCUACCAAGGCAACGAUCCGUAGCCGGCCUGAGAGGGCGGUCGGGCCACACUGACACUGAAUACGGGUCAGACUCCUACGGGAGCAGCAGUGGGAAUCUUGCGCAAUGGGCGAAAGCCUGACGCAGCGACGCCGCGUGAGGGAUGACGGCCUCGG
rnacentral:rRNA from 1 species